rnacentral:rRNA from 1 species
AACGAACGCUGGCGGCAGGCUUAACACAUGCAAGUCGAACGCCCCGCAAGGGGAGUGGCAGACGGGUGAGUAACGCGUGGGAACCUACCCUUCGGUACGGGAUAGCUCCGGGAAACUGGAAUUAAUACCGUAUAUCUCCUUUGGGAGAAAGAUUCAUCGCCGAAGGAUGGGCCCGCGUCGGAUUAGCUAGUUGGUGGGGUAACGGCUCACCAAGGCGACGAUCCGUAGCUGGUCUGAGAGGAUGAUCAGCCACAUUGGGACUGAGACACGGCCCAAACUCCUACGGGAGGCAGCAGUGGGGAAUAUUGGACAAUGGGCGCAAGCCUGAUCCAGCCAUGCCGCGUGAGUGAUGAAGGCCCUAGGGUUGUAAAGCUCUUUCGACGGGGACGAUAAUGACGGUACCCGUAGAAGAAGCCCCGGCUAACUUCGUGCCAGCCGCCGCAGUAAUAC